GGCCUCGUGGUGUAAUGGUAACACGCCCUCCUUCAAUAUCUGAUCCACAAUGCGAUUUGGAGAGAGUUCCCUGUUCGACUCAGGGCUAGGCCA